UGAGGUGUGCCAUUCUGAGUCAUCUUCGAUCAGAAACUCCAUCUGAAUCUCAUCCUCAAACAGCCAUUCCCAGCUGUUUGAUAGUGUGUUUUUGCAUGUCUGUGUGCGCACUGUGUGCUUAUGGUGCCUGUGGGAGUGUGUGAGACAGUUACGCGCUCACACACACACGCACGCACUGAGUUCAGCCGAUUUAUCAUAAUAUGCUUUAUCUGAAAAGUAAGUAUCUUACCUCGGGAUAAAGGGAGGAAAGAGGGGUUUGUGGCCAGAUUGACAGAGGAAGGGUGGACAGAGAGAGCCGAGCAGAGCGCUUGCUGUUCUGGAGCGAAGAGCUGGACUUUCAGUUUGAUGGCUGGAUUGAUCCGAACUGAGAAGGUGAGGAUAAAAAGUUCAGAAUGGCAAAAACUCCGACAUCAAGCUGAUCUUUUGGCUAAUAGCAUGGAAACCAAAGGUUUUAGAUGAUUGUAAUGUUUUUUAGCUUUAAAACUCAAAUGCAACUGUUGAGCCAUGCUGGGUUAAAGAAGGGCACUUUUAUAUGACAGACAGUGUCUUUUAAGCUGAUUUAGUUUUUAACUAAAAAGUGUGACACAAAAUCAAAUCGGAAAGUCUUGCACCUUUGCAUGUUUAAUGAGACCAACAGGUCUUCUAGCUGCAGUAGAAAGUUCACAGAGACAGGGCUCCCAAACUAAAUCCCACCCGAGUUUGCAAAUAAAAUGAAGAUCUAUCCUUGGAAUACACCUCUUUUUAUUCUGUGAGCCAGUUCUGACAAGGGAUGCAGAGUCUGUGCAACUCUAAGCUGAUAAUGAGGUUAAAUGUAACAUUAUAGUCUAGUUUUCCAGUUAUCAUUUAAUAAUGCCAGAGAAAGUGUGAAAUAUUCAUGUUAACAAAGCCAAUCAGGAGGUCUUUUAUUGUAACCUUUCACAUAAACAUCCUCAACAAACCAAUGAAAUGUUAACAAUCUUGUCAGUUUUUUCUCCUCUCUGCUGUUAGCCAGUGAUUGUGUAUUAGCCAGUAUCAAUGUUAGUCCAGUGCAGCAUCUCUGCAUCCCUAACUGUGACUACUUUGACAAUUUAUAUUAUUAUAAUUAGUCUUCUGUGACCCUACAUUAUGUUAGCAAGUGCAAAUGGGCUUUUAAAGGUACUCAAGAGAUAAUAAUAUAAUAAAGAUGUUUACCUUGUAUGUUAGCCUGUUUUUUAAAGUCCUGUAAAAAGAAAUAUAUAUUUGAUAUCAAUAAAUUUAUUGACUUUUUUUUAACAAAAUAAAAGCUUUCCGACAUUG